AUCCAUUGAUUGAAGGCAGCAAAGGACUUAUGUUGUGAUGGAGUCUGCAAAAAAGAGGAUGGCAACCUGCACGGUUUGUAACUUGCGCAUUGAAGACACAAAAACAACGACGUCGAACAUCGUCCGUCACAAUAAAACUCACAGACAGGUAAGCUAAUUUAACAGUUUAGCUAGCUGGUCAAACAUUAGGUUUCAUAGACUAGUUUGGCACGAUUAAAAAAAAUUGAAAAAAUGAUGUGAUUGUGAAUGUUUUAGUACAGCUAAGUAACGUAACUAGAGGUGGGACAGUUUAUGAUAAUUGUCCGAAUUGUCUGAAAUGAAAAAAUGUCACAAUGAAAACUAUGACCCGUGCUCUGCACACAAUAACAAAUAACUAUAUCAAGCCAAUGUAGAAGAAAUUAUGUUUUACAAAAAUGAAAAAAAGCUCAAAGGACAAGUACCCUUUAUGUAUUUUUAAUGUUUGUAUUAAUGCUGCCCUAUUUUUCAAAGGAAGUCUUCACCACACUGUUUUUCUUCUGAAUGUUCUCAUGGUGGUUUUCUUGCCCACAAGUGAGACAUAACUUCCUGUCGAGGUCGUUAAAUUUGAUAAAGAGCAGACCUUUUAAGCUAAAGUUCAGCGGUUAGCUGUUAAUCGGGUAACAUGAAGCAAAGAUAUCCUCAGUAUUGCCUCAGUAUUGCAUCUGUGCUUUUUGCAGAUGAUGUGGUUCUGUUGGCUUCAUCAAGCCGUGAUCUCCAACACUCAUUGGAGCGGUUCGCAGCAGAGUGUAAAGCGGCUGGGAUGAGAAUCAGCAUCUCCAAAUCUGAGACCAGGGUCCUCAGUCGGAAAAGGGUGGAGUGACCUCUCCGGUUCGGGGAUGAGAUCCUGCUCCAAGUGGAGGAGUUCAAAUAUCUUGGGGUCUUGUUCAUGAGUGAGGGAAGAAUGGAAUGAGAGAUCGACAAGCGGAUCGGUGCAGCGUCUGCAGUGAUGCGGCCUUUGUAUCGGAUGUCCGUUCUGGUGAAGAAUGAGCUCAGACAAAAGGUGAAGCUCUCGAUUUACCGGUCGAUCUACGUUCCUACCCUCACCUAUGGUCAUGAGCUGUGGGUCGUGACCGAAAGAACAAGAUCCCGGAUACAAGCGGCCGAAAUGAGUUUCCUUCGCAGGGUGUCCGGGCUUUCCCUUAGAGAUAGGGUGAGAAUCUCGGUCACCCGGGAGGAGCUCGGAGUAGAGCCGCUGCUCCUCCGCAUUGAGAGGAGCCAGAUGAGGUGUCUCUGGCAUCUAAUUAGGAUGCCUCCCGGACGCCUCCCUGGUGAGGUGUUCCGGGCACGACCCACCGGGAGCAGACCCCGGGGACAACCCAGGACACACUGGAGAGACUAUGACUCUCGGCUGGCCCGGGAACGCCUCGGGAUCCCCUCGAAAGAGCUGGAGGAAGUGGCCGGGGAGAGGGAAGUGUCCCGACCUCAGAUAAGCGGAGGAAAAUGGAUGGAUGGAUAGGUAACAUGACACAAAGAUAUUGUCAAUUGAAGAUGAAGAUUCCAAAAGUCAUGUUUCUGUAAUAGGCUUGUAUUUAAUCUUGCAGAAAUGUCUGUUUGGAUGGAUUGUGUACCUGUGAGGUGGAAAGCAGGCCUGAGCGAAGGGAACUCCAAGUCCCAGCAGAUGGCAUUAUGAUGGGGGUGGCCGUGUCCGGUGACCAGGCGCCUGGUGACCUCUGCCCAGCCCAGAGAGCAGAUCUGCAGUCGGGGUGGUUACAUACAAGAGUCACCGGUGGACAGUCACGGCGUCAGCGCUUGUGUGACGUUCAGCACCUGUGAGUUGGUGUCUGCGGAACCGACGCAAGUCGCCGACUCGAUGUCCCAAAUUCGAAGUUGCCCGUCCUUCCAUCCUCCACCUGUGGCUAUCACAUUGCCCUUCCAGGGACACCACCCCAUCGCCUGAACACACACACGCUUAUCAUAACUCAUUGACACCUUGACAGCGCUAGGCUGCUUCAUUGUGGCGACUGGCCGAUGUGACCCUGUGACAUCACGGUCCCAGAUGUGGAGGAGGCCGUCUGCGGAGCCGCUGGCCAGCCACUCACCACCGGGGGACCACUGAAGGCUGCACAAACCCUCCUGUUGGAUCACCGUGCCCACUAAAGGAGAUGGAGCCCGUGGGUCAUUGUGAUGAAUGUGUCCCAGGGUGGAGCCACUGUCGAAAAUAAAUAAAGAAAUAAAAAGCUACAUAUCCUGCUACCACUCUUAUAAUGUGAGAAACCUUUUCCCAUUCCAAUUCAUAAAUGGGUUAAUAAUGGUAGGCAACGUACUGUAGUCCCCUUAACAUGUCUGCCUCACAGUUCUAAGGUUCUGGAUGGGAAUCUUGUCUCCAGCCUUCUUGUUUGGUAUUUGCAUGUUCCAAAAACAUGUAUGCUAAGUUAAUUGAAAAUUUUACAUACAUAAGCGGGAUGCAAACUUUUGUCCUC